GGGAUAGCCCAGGGAAACCUGGAUUAAUACCGGAUGAGACGGGACCCGCGAAGGCGGGACCCGGGAAAGGCGCUGCGGCGGCCGCCGGGGGAUGAGUCUGCGUCCCAUUAGCUAGACGGCGGGGUAACGGCCCACCGUGGCGACGAUGGGUAGCCGGCCUGAGAGGGUGGACGGCCACAUUGGAACUGAGACACGGUCCAGACUCCUACGGGAGGCAGCAGCUAAGAAUCUUCCGCAAUGGGCGAAAGCCUGACGGAAGCGACGCCGCGUGAACGAAGAAGGCCGUGAGGUUGUAAAGUUCUUUUCGGGAGGGGGAACAACCGUGGCAGGGAAUGGCCGCGGGAUGACGUGAAUCCCGGAAUAAGCCCCGGCUAACUACGUGCCAGCCGCCGC
rnacentral:rRNA from 1 species